CAAACCAGCUCCCCCGCCCCUGAGUUUGAUCCUGGAUCAAAAUAGAACGCUGGCGGCAUGCUUUACACAUGCAAGUCGAACGGCAGCGCGGGCUUCGGCCUGGCGGCGAGUGGCGAACGGGUGAGUAAUAUAUCGGAACGUGCCCAAGAGUGGGGGAUAACGUAGCGAAAGUUACGCUAAUACCGCAUACGAUCCAAGGAUGAAAGCAGGGGACCUUCGGGCCUUGUGCUCCUGGAGCGGCCGAUAUCUGAUUAGCUAGUUGGUGAGGUAAAGGCUCACCAAGGCGACGAUCAGUAGCUGGUCUGAGAGGACGACCAGCCACACUGGAACUGAGACACGGUCCAGACUCCUACGGGAGGCAGCAGUGGGGAAUUUUGGACAAUGGGGGCAACCAUGAUCCAGCAAUGCCGCGUGAGUGAAGAAGGCCUUCGUUUAGUAAAGCUCUUUUGUCAGCGAAGAAAAGGUACUGGCUAAUAUCCAGGCUCAUGACGUACCUUAAGGGAGCUAAUUUAAUCG
rnacentral:rRNA from 1 species